GCUGAAACAAAAUGGUGAGUUUUCAGUAUACAGUUUGUUGCUAAACUGAGAACUGAAUUCCAGCACUGCAGUGACUAAUCUGAAGUGAAGGACCUGGUUGAUUUAUGUUGCUGAUUAGGAAAAAGGGAUGCUUAUUGUGCCAAGGGUGCUCAAUAUAGAGGACUUGCCUUUAAUUGUGAACUUAUUUUCAAGCUGAAUAUGAGCUCUACACAGACUGACUCCUACUUCUACAUAGAGAUUUCAAUGGGCUUCUGCACAGAUUCCAGAUAAGAAAAAGCAGGCAAAGAAGUCUGAAUUGAGAGUGCCAAGGAACAGACAAAACAGUCAAGCAAGCAAGCUAAACAAAAUGUUAAAUUAGCAUCACAAAAACUCAAACACAAAGAGCAAUCAGGUGGGAAAAUGCCAGAUACUGUCAUAAAGAAAGCAAAACAAUCAGAUUUUCUUCUCUUGUCAUCCUCUCCUAUAGUGUAUAUCUAACUAUGUUCCAGUUCUAUUUGCAAAGAAGAUAGAUUAACUAUAUAUCAUUUCAUUACAACUGUUGGCAUUCUGUUUGCAAUUCUAUUUUUGUUGGUCUCCAUUUUACCUCUCUCCAAAGAAAUCCCAUUUACUAGAACUUUUAUCAAGACUAGAAAUAUAUGUAUCUAGUUGGGGUGUUAUAUUUAGUUAGCUUAUUUGUUCCUCAUCCUGUCAAAAAAGCAACUUUUUCACAUUUUAGACCACUUGAGAAGAGCUUUUUC